AUUGAACGCUGGCGGCAUGCCUUACACAUGCAAGUCGAACGGCAGCACGGGUGCUUGGACCUGGUGGCGAGUGGCGAACGGGUGAGUAAUACAUCGGAACAUGUCCUGUAGUGGGGGAUAGCCCGGCGAAAGCCGGAUUAAUACCGCAUACGAUCUACGGAUGAAAGCGGGGGACCUUCGGGCCUCGCGCUAUAGGGUUGGCCGAUGGCUGAUUAGCUAGUUGGUGGGGUAAAGGCCUACCAAGGCGACGAUCAGUAGCUGGUCUGAGAGGACGACCAGCCACACUGGGACUGAGACACGGCCCAGACUCCUACGGGAGGCAGCAGUGGGGAAUUUUGGACAAUGGGCGAAAGCCUGAUCCAGCAAUGCCGCGUGUGUGAAGAAGGCCUUCGGGUUGUAAAGCACUUUUGUCCGGAAAGAAAUCCUUGGCCCUAAUACGGUCGGGGGAUGACGGUACCGGAAGAAUAAGCACCGGCUAACUACGUG
rnacentral:rRNA from 1 species